GCAAAAUUAAAUUUAUAAGAGGAGGAGAUUUCUAGAAAAGAUACAAAUACAAUCACAGAGAUUAUUAGAAAUUUAUAUUUGCCUCUUUCUACUUAAUUGGUGCUUAUUGUCAAAACUGCUGGAUUUCAGUUUUCCAAUUUAUCUUUGCUCCCCAGAUAUUAGAUACAGUCCCAGACACAAAGGAAGAAACAUGAAUAAAUGGAAGACAGUAGAUAAAAGGAAGCACAAAUAUUAUAUCUGUAUUCAUUGCAUAUCUCGAUUCAUAUCCUUUACUGUUCCACCUUUCAAUGAUCCAUCAAAAUUGGUGAUUUUUUUUUCUUCUGCUCUAAUCUUGAAUGAUUUUGUUCUAAGCAGAGACACAACCACAAGAUAAAGCCAUCAAGAGAAUGGCAGCUUGUUCUUCCUCUCCCAGCUUCUUCUUCCAUUCUUCCUGCAACAAUAUAUCCCUUCCAGCAACCACCAAUCCCAGCUUCAGAGGAACUCCUGGCUUACUUUUGCUGCUUUUAGCUAUCUUCCUUCUGCUCUUCUCUGCUCUUCCAUUGUCCAAACCAAGAAGAGUCCUCCUCUUCUUCCUAUAUCUGAUCCCACAGGCAUUGCACAAAGUCUAGAAACAAAAUUGUAUUGAAACAGCAGUAAGACCAGAGCUUUAAAAACUCGUAAUAAAUAUGAAACAAAAAUAUUGAAUAUAAUUGGAAAUGUUUAAUGAGGAAUGAUGCAAACCUUGGGACCAGCUGGACCACCUCUCCAGCAUGGUGUUCUUGUGGUGUGGCAAUCUAUACAGCUUUUAUUGAGCUCGUUACACCUGCUUUGUGGAGUAUCAUGCAUAUCCUCUGACUCUUGCCCCUGUUUAAUCAGAUGAAAAUAUUCAAUGAUCACCUAAUUAGGGGGAAGGUAAAAAAAGAAGUAAGACCACUGUUCAAGAAGGGUAAGGCCACUUACAUUCGUGUUCAAAUCCAUAAUCAUCAUUACACUAAGGUUAAUAUACUAAAGAAGAAAGUGUUCAAAGAUUAGUUAAUAUGCAAAGCAGAGACAUACGUAGACGUAAAAGAAAGACAAGCCCGCCUCCAAGAUAAAGAAAUGCUUAUCGAGAGAGCAAUAAAAUAGACAGAACUUUCGAAACAGAAAUCGAGAGAUAGAAGUAAUGUAAAUCCAGAGGAGUGAUGGGAAAGGAAGAAGAAACUGAGAAAAACAGGGGAAUGAGAAGUAGGGAUGAGGUUUGCAAAAUAUAGAACAUCUGGCACAGUCAAUAAUCAGUAUACAGCUCUAGGCAAUUUUUGAAUGAUGGGGCUGCGGCGCAAAAACCCUAAUUCUAGUAUAUUUUCUUUGACCAGAAUACCCCCUUCAAUUAUCCCAUUUCAUUCUUUGCAAAAAAGUAAUUAGCCAUAGGAAAAUAGUAAGCAUUAGUUAGACGUUGAUCUCAACAUUUGAGGUCUCCUAAUACAAUGGCUAAAUGAUUGAAAAUAAGAUAAUGGCUAAAUCAUCCGUGAAAAUUAAUUUCACGACUUUACUUUAAUGGGUGACAGGUUCGAAGCUUUUCAAAACUCUCUGUACAUAGCUCGAGGAGUUGCAACCAAG
rnacentral:misc_RNA from 1 species